AAACACAGAGCGGGAUGUGAUCCAGCUCCACUCCGCUCACAUCAACAACCUCCUUAGCCAGGAAUUUACUACCUCUGCUUAUACAAGGCUGUCAUCUAACUGGUGGUGAUCCAGAGAAUGGGUACUGGUAUCCUGUCAAGGACAUGACAGGAGUAGCAUGCAAAGUGCAUGGCAAGUGGGGCCAGUCUCUUUUGCUGACAGAAGAAAGAAAGACGAUAUGAAGUCAACCCUGCUACAACCAUCCUGUAUGAAUUCAAAGCUCCCGGUGGUGGCGGGGGUCCCGAGGCAGGGGUGGCUCUGAGUCAUCCAUGGGCAGGACCAGGCGUGUGCCCCGAAUCACCAGCUCAUGGUCACCGAAGGUCAGCUCUCUGUCCAGAGCC